rnacentral:rRNA from 1 species
GUGGGGAAUCUUAGACAAUGGGGGAAACCCUGAUCUAGCCAUGCCGCGUGAGCGAUGAAGGCCUUAGGGUUGUAAAGCUCUUUCAGCUGGGAAGAUAAUGACGGUACCAGCAGAAGAAGCCCCGGCUAACUCCGUGCCAGCAGCCGCGGUAAUACGGAGGGGGCUAGCGUUGUUCGGAAUUACUGGGCGUAAAGCGCGCGUAGGCGGACCAGACAGUUGGAGGUGAAAUCCCAGGGCUCAACCUUGGAACUGCCUUCAAAACUCCUGGUCUGGAGUUCGAGAGAGGUGAGUGGAAUUCCGAGUGUAGAGGUGAAAUUCGUAGAUAUUCGGAGGAACACCAGGGGCGAAGGCGGCUCACUGGCUCGAUACUGACGCUGAGGUGCGAAAGCGUGGGGAGCAAACAGGAUUAGAUACCCCGGUAGUCC